CAGUACCGUGAGGGAAAGGUGAAAAGAACCCCGGGAGGGGAGUGAAAGAGAACCUGAAACCAUAUGCCUACAAGAAGUCAGAGCCCGUUAAAGGGUGAUGGCGUGCCUUUUGUAGAAUGAACCGGCGAGUUACUGUAUGGAGCGAGGUUAAGCAGGAUAUGCGGAGCCGAAGCGAAAGCGAGUCUUAAGAGGGCGAGAGUUGCAUGCAGUAGACCCGAAACCGGGUGAUCUAGCCAUGACCAGGUUGAAGUUGGGGUAAAACCCGAUGGAGGACCGAACCGACCCCCUUUGAAACGUUGGCGGAUGAGUUGUGGCUAGGGGUGAAAUUCCAAUCGAACCCGGAGAUAGCUGGUUCUCCCCGAAAUAGCUUUAGGGCUAGCGUCGAGGUAAGUUGCGUGAAGGUAGAGCACUGAAUAUGUGAUGGCCCCAUCUCGGGGUACUGAGCAUAAUCAAACUGCGAAUGUCACGCCAACAUGCUCGGCAGUCAGACAGCGGGUGAUAAGGUCCGUUGUCAAGAGGGAAACAGCCCAGACCAUCAGCUAAGGUCCCAAAAUGUAUGCUAAGUGGAAAAGGAUGUGGAGAUGUACAGACAACUAGGAGGUUGGCUCAGAAGCAGCCAUCCUUUAAAGAGUGCGUAACAGCUCACUAGUCGAAUGACUCUGCGCCGAUAAUUUACCGGGGCUAAGCAUACUACCGAAGCUAUGGAUCCCAAGGGAUGGUAGGGGAGCGUUCCAUGAACGGAGAAGUACGACCGAAAGGACGUGUGUAGAUCAUGGAAGAGAGAAUGCCGGUGUGAGUAGCGGAACGUGGGUGAGAAUCCCACGCACCGAAAACCCAAGGUUUCCAGAGGAAGGUUCGUCCGCUCUGGGUAAGUCGGGACCUAAGGCGAGGCCGAAAGGCGUAGUCGAUGGACAACAGGUAGAGAUUCCUGUACCCGUAUAUAUGUGAAGGAAUGACGGAGAGAGGAAGCUGCAGCCAGCGGCUGGAAGAGCUGGUGCAAGCGAGAUAUCGGGAUGGCAGGCAAAUCCACCAUCCGAAACGAGAAGGCGUGAAGCGUACGGAAAGCUACGGCGAGUACGGAAGGCAGUGGAGGAACUUCCAAGAAAAGUUUCUAACGUUAAGUAUAUAUGGCCCGUACCGAAAAUGGACACACAUGGGUGAGGAGAGAAUCCUAAGGUGAGCGAGAGAACUAUAGCUAAGGAACUCUGCAAAAUGACUCCGUAACUUAGGGAGAAGGAGUGCUCAUAGAGAUAUGAGCCGCAGUGAAACGGCCCAAGCGACUGUUUACCAAAAACACAGCUCUCUGCUAAGCCGCAAGGCGAAGUAUAGGGGGUGACGCCUGCCCGGUGCUGGAAGGUUAAGGGGAGGGGUUAACGCAAGUGAAGCCCUGAACUGAAGCCCCAGUAAACGGCGGCCGUAACAAUAACGGUCCUAAGGUAGCGAAAUUCCUUGUCAGGUAAGUUCUGACCCGCACGAAAGGCGUAACGAUUUGGGCGCUGUCUCAGCUGUAGACUCGGUGAAGUCUUAGUACCUGUGAAGAUGCAGGUUACCCGCGACUAGACGGAAAGACCCCAUGGAGCUUCACUGCAGGUUGAUAUUGGGAUUUGAUGCAGCAUGUACAGGAUAGGUAGGAGGCAAAGAGAUGGAUACGCCAGUAUUCAAGGAGCCGCUGUUGGGAUACUACCCCUGUUGUAUUGGAUUUCUAACCGGACGACGUAGAACCGUUGACGGGACAGUGUCAGUCGGGCAGUUUGACUGGGGCGGUCGCCUCCCAAAGAGUAACGGAGGCGCCCAAAGAUACCCUCAGCUUGGAUGGAAAUCAAGCGCAGAGUGCAAAGGCAAAAGGGUGUUUGACUGCGAGACCAACAAGUCGAGCAGGGACGAAAGUCGGGCUUAGUGAUCCGGCGGUGCUGAAUGGAAAGGCCGUCGCUCAACGGAUAAAAGCUACCCUGGGGAUAACAGGCUGAUCUCCCCCAAGAGUUCACAUCGACGGGGAGGUUUGGCACCUCGAUGUCGGCUCAUCGCAUCCUGGAGCUGUAGUCGGUUCCAAGGGUUGGGCUGUUCGCCCAUUAAAGCGGUACGCGAGCUGGGUUCAGAACGUCGUGAGACAGUUCGGUCCCUAUCUGUCGUG
rnacentral:rRNA from 1 species